AUCCAAAGUCACAUGAUAACCAAGCAGAAGAGACCCAUAUUUCUUGCACUGGAAAAAAAGCAAAACCACCUCCAACCCUGUUUGUCGAAUGCCCAAACUGUACAAGUUGCACAGACCAGGAGAAGUUACGUGUCAUGGGAGGAGAGGACAGAUGCUCGGGGAGAGUGGAGGUUUGGUACCGUGGGUCCUGGGGAACGGUUUGUGAUGAUUCCUGGGACAUGGCGGAUGCUAAUGUUGUGUGUAAACAACUGGGCUCUGGCUCUGCUGUAUCUGCCCCUGGUGAGGCUGCAUUUGGCGAGGGGACUGGUCCCAUCUGGGUGGAGACAUUGAAUUGCAGAGGGACAGAGUCAUCUCUCUGGGACUGUCCUGCCAAGCCCUGGGGUGAGAGUAACUGUGGUCAUAAGGAAGAUGCUGCCAUGAACUGCUCAGGUGAGUGACAGGAGAUGUUUCUGCUACAUGCUCUAAUUUUUGAGGAAGGAGAAUGGAUCUGCUCCCCGCACCCCCUUUGGUCCCAG